rnacentral:rRNA from 1 species
GACGAAAGCUGGCGGCGUGCUUAACACAUGCAAGUCGAACGGAAAGGCCCUGCUUUUGUGGGGUGCUCGAGUGACGAACGGGUGAGUAACACGUGAGUAACCUGCCCGUGACUUUGGGAUAACUUCAGGAAACUGGGGCUAAUAGCGGAUAGGAGCUCCUGCUGCAUGGUGGGGGUUGGAAAGUUUCGGCGGUUGGGGAUGGACUCGCGGCUUAUCAGCUUGUUGGUGGGGUAGUGGCUUACCAGGGCAUUGACGGGUAGCCGGCCUGAGAGGGUGACCGGCCACAUUGGGCCUGAGGUACGGCCCAGUCUCCUCCGGUAGGCAGCAGUGGAGUAUGUUGCACAAUGCGCGGAAGCCUGAUGCAGCAACGCCGCGUGCGGGAUGGCAGCCUUCGGGUUGUAUUCCACUUUCGCCUGUGACGAGCUGUGAGUGACGGUAAUGGGUAAAGAAGCACCGGCUAACUACGUG